UACGGAGGGGGCUAGCGUUGUUCGGAAUUACUGGGCGUAAAGCGCACGUAGGCGGUUACUCAAGUCAGUGGUGAAAGCCCGGAGCUCAACUCCGGAAUAGCCUUUGAAACUAGGUAACUUGAACGUCGGAGAGGUGAGUGGAAUUCCGAGUGUAGAGGUGAAAUUCGUAGAUAUUCGGAAGAACACCAGUGGCGAAGGCGGCUCACUGGACGACUGUUGACGCUGAGGUGCGAAAGCGUGGGGAGCAAACAGG
rnacentral:rRNA from 1 species